GUCGUGCUUCUUCCAACUGUCAGACUGCUCCUCUCUCUUCUUUUGGCUGCUCCCAGGACUGAAGCAGGUGUGAGAGUUUACGUUUUCGGGCUGCUCUUCUAGGAAACAGGUCUGCCAUCAUCUCCAGCUGUGUCAGAAUCUGUCACUUUAAUGGAUUGAUCUCCGUGGAAAUCCUGAGUGCUAAAACAUCCAACAAGACUGAUUCUAGUUCUUGUCACCAUGGAGAUAUUACUUCGUGCCAAGUGUUUUCAGCGCCUAGCAGUUCCUGGUUCUGUGAGAGCAGUGCAUAAAGAUUACAGAAUAGUGACCCCUCAGAAUUUCUCCAACUAUGAAUCCAUAAAACAGGACUUCAAACUGGAGGUUCCAGAGUAUUUUAACUUUGCUAAAGAUGUCCUGGACAAAUGGACCAAUACGGAAAAGGCUGGAAAGAGACCUUCCAAUCCAGCCUUCUGGUGGGUAAGUGGAAAUGGAAAAGAAGUGAGAUGGAGUUUUGAAGAACUGGGAUCUUUGUCCAGGAAAUUUGCCAAUAUACUUGCAGAAGCCUGUGCUCUACAAAGGGGAGAUCGAGUAAUUGUGAUUCUGCCCAGGAUCCCAGAGUGGUGGCUUGCAAACAUAGCCUGUCUGAGAACAGGGACGGUUGUAAUUCCAGGAACCACUCAGCUGACCCAGAAAGACAUCCUCUACAGACUACAAUCUUCAAAAGCAAAGUGCAUUAUUACCAAUGAAGUUUUAGCCCCAGCAGUAGAUGCUGUUGCAUCUAAAUGUGAAAAUCUGCACUCCAAGCUAAUUGUGUCUCAGAAGCCCAGAGAGGGGUGGGGGAACCUCAAGGAGAUGAUGAAACAUGCCAGUGACAACCACACCUGUGUGAAGACAAAGCACAAUGAGAUGAUGGCCAUUUACUUCACCAGUGGAACAAGUGGACCUCCUAAAAUGACCGGACACACCCACAGCAGUUUUGGCUUAGGAUUAUCUGUAAAUGGAAGGUUCUGGCUGGAUUUAACACCUUCGGAUGUGAUGUGGAAUACCUCAGACACAGGCUGGGCAAAGUCUGCAUGGAGCAGUGUUUUUUCUCCAUGGAUCCAGGGAGCAUGUGUAUUUGCACAUUAUCUGCCACGUUUUGAGCCAACUUCCAUCUUGCAAACACUUUCCAAGUUUCCCAUCACAGUCUUCUGUUCAGCGCCAACUGCAUACCGAAUGCUUGUACAGAGUGAUAUGAGCAGCUAUAAGUUCAAAAGCUUAAAGCACUGCGUGAGUGCUGGGGAACCCAUCAACCCUGAAGUGACUGAACAGUGGAGAAACAGGACAGGUCUGGAUAUCUACGAAGGAUAUGGACAGACUGAAACGGUGCUAAUCUGUGGAAAUUUUAAGGGAAUGAAAGUGAAGCCUGGCUCAAUGGGAAAGCCUUCUCCUGCAUUUGACGUUAAGAUUUUAGAUGUAAAUGGCAAUGUUCUACCUCCUGGACAAGAAGGAGAUAUCGGCAUUCAAGUUCUCCCUACCCGACCAUUUGGCCUUUUUACUCAUUAUGUAGAUAAUCCUACAAAAACAGCUUCAACUCUACGAGGCAACUUCUAUAUCACUGGGGACAGAGGCUAUAUGGAUGAAGAUGGAUAUUUCUGGUUUGUUGCAAGAUCGGAUGAUAUCAUAUUAUCCUCUGGCUACCGAAUUGGACCUUUUGAGGUAGAAAGUGCCCUGAUUGAGCAUCCUGCGGUAGCAGAGUCAGCUGUUGUCAGCAGCCCAGACCCCAUCAGAGGAGAGGUAGUAAAGGCUUUUAUUGUUCUGAGUCCUGAUUAUAAGUCACAUGAUCAAGAACAACUGAAAAAGGAGAUUCAGGAGCAUGUAAAAAAAACUACAGCACCUUACAAAUAUCCCAGAAAGGUAGAAUUUAUUCAAGAGCUGCCAAAGACUAUCAGUGGGAAGAUAAAAAGAAAUGAACUGAGAAAGCAAGAAUGGGAAACAAUUUAAAUCCAUUCCAUUAAUUUCCACAGUAUUAUAGAUUCCAUGGUAUUUAUAAAACAAAGACUCUGUAGAAACCACAAGAUUAUGGAAAGGGCAACAGUAGAAGACUUUUCCAUGGUUUGGUCCAUUAUUAGAAACAACAAGUCUCUUACAUCUUCGGCCACACUUGCAUAAAGGAGGUGUCAUCCUCCCACUUUUCCAAGGCUCUCGUAGGUUAACUGUAGAAG